ensembl:miRNA
GCCAUCUUACUGGGCAGCAUUGGAUGGUGUCUGGUCUCUAAUACUGCCUGGUAAUGAUGACGG